AUGAACGCUGGCGGCGUGCCUAAUACAUGCAAGUCGAGCGAACGGACGAGAAGCUUGCUUCUCUGAUGUUAGCGGCGGACGGGUGAGUAACACGUGGAUAACCUACCUAUAAGACUGGGAUAACUUCGGGAAACCGGAGCUAAUACCGGAUAAUAUUUUGAACCGCAUGGUUCCAAAGUGAAAGACGGUCUUGCUGUCACUUAUAGAUGGAUCCGCGCUGCAUUAGCUAGUUGGUAAGGUAACGGCUUACCAAGGCAACGAUGCAUAGCCGACCUGAGAGGGUGAUCGGCCACACUGGAACUGAGACACGGUCCAGACUCCGACGGGAGGCAGCAGUAGGGAAUCUUCCGCAAUGGGCGAAAGCCUGACGGAGCAAAGCCGCGUGAGUGAUGAAGGUCUUCGGAUCGUAAAACUCUGUUAUUAGGGAAGAACAUAUGUGUAAGUAACUGUGCACAUCUUGACGGUACCUAAUCAGAAAGCCACGGCUAACUACGUG
rnacentral:rRNA from 1 species